UAUUACACUAUUCCUCACAAAAACAACAUCUCUCUCUCUCUCUCUCUCUCUCUCUCCUCUUCGGCCCAUGCGGAGCUCUCUCCUCUCUUCCUACAAACCCCCAAUUUCCAUUUCUACCCUCCGCUCCCUCCUCCCCUCUCCCUCCUCCUCCUCCAGGGGCUUUUCCGUCCACCUCAUGUCGCUCCUCGCCUCCUCCGCCGCGGCGGCGGCGCCGCCGGGGGCUAGGGUUCGCGCGUUCCAGCUCCAGCUCAACCCCCUCACAGGAGACUCGGAGUGGGUCGUCGUCGACGGAGACGACGACGAUGUAGAGGAGGAGGAGAAGAGGAGGACGAGGUCAUCGACGACGACCAUGGCGACGACCUCGUACCUCGACAUGCUCAACGACGCAGAGCGGAACCGCGCGUUCCGGCUCGCCGUGGAGAGGACGAUCUCCGGGCCGUGCCGCGUCCUCGACAUCGGAGCUGGAACGGGGUUACUCUCCAUGAUGGCAGCAAGAGCGAUGGCCAAAUUUGACAGUCAGAAGGAGGGUAAGGUGACGGCAUGCGAAUCCUACUUACCAAUGUGGAAAUUGAUGCGGAGGGUACUACGAGCAAAUGGCAUGGAGACAAUGGUGAAAGUGUUCUACAAACGCUCAGAUGAGCUUCAAGUUGGAGUUGAACUUGAGUCGCCGGCUGAUCUACUGGUUAGCGAGAUCUUGGAUUCAGAGUUGCUGGGUGAAGGAUUGAUACCUACCCUUCAGCACGCACAUGACAUGCUACUCGUAAAAAAUCCACAAACAGUUCCAUAUAGAGCCACUACCUAUGGGCAGCUAGUUGAAAGCCCAUUCUUGUGGAAGAUGCAUGAUUUGCACAACAAUGAAGUAAAUUCUUUGGAUGGCAUACAUCUCACACCAAAUGGGUUGGAACGAAUUAUUUCAGCAAAGCCACAGCAAUAUGCAAUGCACUGCAAUGCAAUAUCAGAGGGGAUUCGACUGUUGUCAGAGCCAUUCAAGAUUUUUGAAUUUGACUUUUGGAAGAGACCAGCGAGUUAUGGGGAGAAAGAGAUUCAGAUAAAAGCAAUUGAUGAUGGAAAAGUUCAUGCAGUUAUUUCAUGGUGGGUACUUCAGUUGGAUUCUGCUGGCUCAAUCUUCUAUUCUACCGCUCCUAGAUGGGUGAGAUCAUCCAUUUGUCAGAAUAAAUCAUCACAUAUGUUCGGUACUAACAAUUGGUGUGAUCACUGGAAACAAUGUGUUUGGUUCAUUGAUGGGACUGGAAUGCCUGCUUUAAAGGAUAAAUAUCUUUCCCUAAAAGCUACACAUAAUGAAACUAGCAUCUCAUACACUAUGGUGGUCGAAAAACAGACGAGUUGUAAUCACUCAAGCUUGGGUGACCAUCUUCUUGUGUUGCCGCCAGAGAAGGUUGCACUUUAUGGUGAUAAAGAUUGGAGAUUGGUCUUAUCUAAAGCAGUCAAAGAAGCUCUAAAUACCAGAUCUUCUCCGUCGUGCAUUGUCGCUGAUGACAGUGUUUUCUUGACUACUCUCAUUGCUUCUCUUUCUAAAACAUCACAUGUUAUCUCAAUCUUUCCUGGGCUCCAAGAUAAGGGUGCCUGUUACAUUCAAGCUAUAUCCGAUGCCAAUGGUUUCUCGAUGGAUCGGAUAAAGGUGAUCGGCAAAAGGACCUCAUCUUUGAUCUCAGAUGACCUUACACCGAGAAAGGUUGAUCUUUUUGUGGGGGAACCUUUCUUUUAUGGGAACGAAGGGAUGCUUCCGUGGCAGAACCUCCGGUUUUGGAAGGAAAGAACCCUCCUCGAUUCAAUCCUAGCUGAAGAUGCAUUCAUCAUGCCUCGUAAGGGAAUCCUAAAAGUUUGUGCCAUGUCUCUUCCCGACUUGUGGAGGAGUCGCCGCAGCUUGAAGGAUGUCGAAGGCUUUGAUCAUUCGGCUGUGAAUGAGGCUCUUGGAGCCUGUGGUGACUUACCCACAACGGAGGAUGGUCCUUGCCUGCCUUACUAUUUAUGGCAAUGUGGUGAUAUUAAGGAACUCAGUAAGGUAUAUUCUAUCAUGGAGUUUGAUUUCUCGGUACCAAUUCAUGCCUGUUUUGGGAAAACAGAGAUUGAAUUUUCUACUCCAGGAACAUGCCAUGGCUUUGCUCUUUGGAUUGAUUGGCUGAUCGAUGAAAGAGAUUCCAUUUCUAUAUCAACUGGACCAGUUAAUAGACACUGGAAACAAGGGGUACAGCUUAUCAACAAGCCAGUGGUGGUCAAUGUAGCUUCAUGCUACGCCAAAAUAGAGGCCUCCUUCGAGCCUUCGAUUGGCGAACUCUCCAUUAAACCCUCAUUCUCAUACCCAUCAUAGAAUUAAUCCUUGCGACAGCUGAAGCGAAGUUAUCACGUUGAUUACGGAGUAAGCAUGUGUUUAGACAGGAGAGGCUUCUCGAUGUCUUCAGUGGACUGCGUCGAGAAAUCGUCGUCUUCAAGUGUGCCGAAGCUUUCCUUGUUCUUCGCCCACAAGACGAUGUAAAGGCCAGAAAACAUUAAAACAAUUCCGAGAAUGCUGCAUCAUCAACAAAAUGUGUUGCAAGAUAAGACAACUACUGCUGCAAGAAGGUAGAAGCAACCUAACAUCCAGUCACUGUAGCUGCUAUUCUCAUUCUCCAAGUGCUCAUGCAAAAGAGAAGUAGCCUCAGGGGAGGUGUGAGUGUUAGGGCUUUGGAGGAAGCUCAUAGCUAUGGCCCCACCCAAGCACACCAUGGUCCCUACAAUCUUGGCUCUGCUGUACCUGCACGUCUUCUCAAACUUCUCUAACCUACAAAACGGAACAAAUUAGAAUCUGUUGGCUCCAACACCAAAGAAUUGAGUUUGCCUUAAUGCUUUAUUUGUCUUGGUUGAUCUGGAUUCGACAUUAGAAGUGUAUUGAUUGUUUUGCAAGGCGAAACCAACAGUCUACAAAGAGUUAAAUGUUCUCUGGUCCUGAGAGGAAAGUGUACUUUCUUUCAUUCUAUAAGUGAGAAGGCUGCGCGCGCAGAGCACAUUUAUUGAAUCUGGUUAGUGUUCUGAUGGUACGUUUGAUCAGUUUCUAUACAUAUAUUCUGUCAACAACAGUUUUUGUUCCAUCAGUAGAUUCAGUGCCACUGGCUAAAUUAUUA